AACAAAAAAACAAAAAAAAAAAAAAAAAAGCAAAUCUUUUAACUAAUUUAUCCCAAUUUGAAAAACUAAUGUCCUCAGCAAGUCCCCAAAAAAUAGUAUACAUGCUAUUGCAGCUAUCAGAAAAUAGGUAAGUCCACAUGUGUUAGCUUUUUAAUCCCGUUUACGAUGUUGCCGUCCACCAUGCACAAGUACAAAGCCCAGAGAUACUACCAUUGCAAGUAGAUACCCAGUCAUUGCUCCAAAAGUCACACAGACUGGCCAUUCCUGCCAUGGCCUUUCCCAGUCAAGUGGCAUAGGCCAAGCCCCAAGCCAAGCUCCAAGUACAGCCCCAUGUGCUGGUAUACAAAUCAUAU
rnacentral:misc_RNA from 1 species